rnacentral:rRNA from 1 species
UGGGGAAUUUUGGACAAUGGGCGAAAGCCUGAUCCAGCCAUGCCGCGUGAGUGAAGAAGGCCUUCGGGUUGUAAAGCUCUUUUAGUCGGAAAGAAAGAGUUGCAAUGAAUAAUUGUGAUUUAUGACGGUACCGACAGAAAAAGCACCGGCUAACUACGUGCCAGCAGCCGCGGUAAUACGUAGGGUGCGAGCGUUAAUCGGAAUUACUGGGCGUAAAGGGUGCGCAGGCGGUUUUGUAAGUCAGAUGUGAAAUCCCCGGGCUUAACCUGGGAAUUGCGUUUGAAACCGCAAGACUAGAGUGCAGCAGAGGGGAGUGGAAUUCCAUGUGUAGCAGUGAAAUGCGUAGAGAUGUGGAAGAACACCGAUGGCGAAGGCAGCUCCCUGGGUUGACACUGACGCUCAUGCACGAAAGCGUGGGGAGCAAACA